GAGCAAAAAGAGGAGCAGAACAGGCUGGAGGAAGACUGGUGCCGAUCGCUUGCUCGCUGGCUUUCUUCCAUCGAACAGGGGGAGAGGAUGUAACGAUCGCUCUCCCACUCGCCCUCUCUUCGAUCGAGGCUCCGGAGGAUGGAGGGGAUCACAAGGAUCCACCGAUCUCUUCUUGGAGCGGACGAGGAACAAGAUCAGGACUUCUUGGGCGAAUCCAACGGCUCUUGCUCCCUAUCUCCACUCCAGAGACUCUAUGGGUUCGCGGCGUGUCUGGUUGCUGGCUUGGCUUGUAUGCUCUUGUCGCUUAUCGUUUUCUUGAAACCUAUCAAAUUUGCAGUGAUUUUCACCUUUGGAAACAUUUUGGCUGUAGGAAGCACAGCCUUCCUGAUUGGACCAGGACGACAGGUAAGAAUGAUGCUUGAUCCGGUUCGUGUUUAUGCAACAGUGAUUUACAUCGGAUGCGUCAUCCUGGCCCUCGUUUCUGCUCUUUGGAUUCAUAGCAAGGUAUUGGCACUGCUUGCAAUUAUAAGUGAAAUUUGUGCUCUUAUCUGGUUUGGUCUGGGUGGGUUGCAAUUUUACUAGAGCCAGACCCAUACUUGGAAAGCUUAAUGGUUAUAUUUUUGGGCCCAUGCCUGACCCAGAUGUUCAUGGGUCUGAAUUGGGCCUAGGCAAGGUCCAUCUCUGAGGGUCUCAAUGGCAACCCUGAUUAAUGUACAUGCUAUUGGAUAUUUAUGUUUACAUAUCAUAUUUUCAUGUAUUUAUUAGGAUGUUAUGCGACAGGGUGAAGCUCCACAUGUCAUAUUUUCAUGUAUUUUAUUAGGAUGUUAUGCGACAGGGUGAAGCUCUAGUUUUUUACCAUCUUUGGCAAGAACACUCAAUUCUUAUUGUAUUUUGGGGGCUGUUGUCCUGGAGUAAAUUAUUCUACCAACAACUGUUCUAAAAUUUGCUUAUUGAUAUGCUGUUUGAUAGAUAGUUAAGUUGUUACGGGUUAUGGCCAGCUCAUCCAUUUAUAUUAAAUGCAUGUCAAAAGUUUAUCUGAAGAUCAAUAAUAUAAUGAUAUGUGGACAACCUUCUAAUAGAGUCCUUGUAUCCUUCUACUUCUAAUCCUAAAGAGAGCUAUUAUUUCCUCUAUUUAUAUAAAUCUCCAAGUCUAUUUCCUUGUUGACAUCACAUUAAGAUUUCCAGGUAUUUCACUACUACCUAACAAACUUCCGAGGUAAAACCAAUAUUCUCAUGUUUCAGCAAGUGAUAUGUCAAAUGACUCACUUAAUCUAAUAGAGAAAUCAUCUAUUAGAGUAAUAGUGACAGAAUUAGCUAAACUUAUUUGUCAAAAAAGUGUAACACCUAGUCAUCAUUCAGUAGUCAUGCACCUAAAACAGAUACAUGUGGACUGAGACAUGCAUCCUAAAAGGCAGCAGCUACAUUUUAGCUUAUGUGAACCAGGCACUCGUAUCCUUCAAUCUUCACCUCCGCCUCCAGCUUCCCUCCUCAGUUGCUAAGACAUAUCAGCAGUCCCAUGAUCGCCAGCACCUACAUUCACUCUUGAUGCACCUAUACCCAGAGAUUGAGCCUUUAUGAGAGCAACUUCUCCAUUGCGACCCCGUCCCUGGGCUUGGCACUGCUUUGUCUAAGCUGGUCGAGGAGAUUUGUCUUCACACUCUAGCCACACACCGUGCUUCUCCUAAAGGAUGCACACAUCGUAACAAUUCACCACGAUAGCUGCCAUGAGAUAUGUACCUUUUUUGUAUAACUGACUGACCUGUUAGAAAGAUUUCAUUAUCUUACCUACCAGAGAAUCUUGGGAAUAGGGGUUUGCCCCACGGUAACACCUCUUUGCUUGGCAAUCAAAGAUUCUGGGUUCGAGUCUUGGGUGGCGCAUCCCCAAGUAGUUGUGCCUAGGUAAUUAUAGUGAAGAUGGAUCUCUGUCCCUUUCUCUCAUGAGAGAGAGAGAGGGAGAAUCUUGAAUCGUAUUAAGUGCUCACAUAACACUUCUAAUAGCUAAAAAAAAAAGAAAAGAAUUAGCUAAAGACACCUUUGUUGGGCCAUCUUCUGUAUUAGAUAAGUUUGCUUCUUUAUUGCUUUCCUGUCCACAAGCUCAUGAUUUUCUUUGCACAAUGUUGCUUGAUCUUCACUGCUAGAGAUCUUUUGUAUAUGCUGCUGAUAAAUGGUGAUGCUAGCACGAUAUUUAUGGUUUCACCCUAUUCUAGUAUAGCCAUCAAGAUUUUGUUUUCAAGUUCUUCAUGUUGGGAGGAAAAUUGUGAUAUAUUUCAGACAUAUUUCUCUGAAAAAUGAUAGUUACCACCCUGUAGUUUUUGAACCUUCGGGUUGUCAUCUUGGAUGUUAGAACUACUAACUGCUUCCUAGGAAUCCUAGGUUCAUGCUGGAUGUUCAUAACUACUGUACCUUUUAGAAUCAACAUUAGAAGUUUUCUAAUAUUCUUUCACCGAAGAGCUCGUUAUCCAAGUCUUUUGUUUGUUGUUCGACCAGUCAAUAUGUUUGGAUUGAUUUAUUUGCCUCUUCACUGGCAUAGAAGUUGUUUUUUGUUCUGGAACAUACUAAGAAGAUAGCAUUUGAGAUUGCCUCUCGUUGGAAGAUGAACUCUUGUCGGGUCAUUUUAGUAGAUUGCAUUUUAUGCUAAUCAUUGUGUUGUUAACUUGUCAUACAAUUUCUUGCUGAUCUGGUGACCUCUAAAGAAAAAGAACUCCCGUAUGGUGAUAUAGAUUGGCGGGAUCCUAUUCCUCUGAUGGCUACAGCUAAACUGACUGCUAAUGACUUAUGGUCAACUGUAGGUUUCUUUUGCUUUCUAUGGGCUUCACGGACAGGCUGAAAACAAAUCUUUCUUGACCUCUCUAACAGUCACAAUGAUGUCUAGUACGCUCAAAUUAGCAAUCAGCUUGAUGGUGUGCAUGCAUGCGAGGUUGCGGUGGUGGUUAGACACCUCACUUGCUUGGGUUCUGGCCCAUGUUACAAUAACUCCGAUAGCAAGAGCACAUUUUUAUUCAAAAAGGGAAAACCCUAAUGGCAAAAAAAUUUCAUAGGUUUAAGUGCUUGUAUUGUUUCUUGAGGAACUUGCCAACUCUCUGAGCUUGAUUAUGAUGUUUGUUCACAUGCAUAUGACCCACUAGGCAUGAUAAAGCAACAUAAUGUAUUCCUAAUGAUUGUAUAAUUUGAGCAUGGUUUUCACAAGGUUGUUUAGCUUCCCCCCCUUCCUGCCAGCUACGUGGCCCAGCAAUUGAGAAUAUGAAACAUCAUUAUUAGAGUUUGGAUUUGAUAUUUGCUUUUAUCAUCUGUACAAGCAUAGUAUGACAAGUCAUCAGGCGUCGGCUGAUGUUCAGUACCUAUCCUAUAAAAUAAUUUGCUAAAUGAGAGAUCUCUUUCUCAUGCAGAGUAUAGUCUGGAGGUGCAGCUUGUCUUACGUGCCAUUUGCUCGGAGAAUGGUCUCAGAAUUGCUUAUAAGUUGCUGUGACACAGAGAUAUAGGCUGAUGCUGAGCCAGUGAUGGUUGGAUGGUGAUACACAUUCCUCUAAUUAUUGCUGAUUACUGAAACCUUGAGUGGCACCACAGUUUCCUGCUGUUCUUUUUUUCCUUUUCAUUUGUUAUGCAUGAGAUUGCCUGUUUGUCUUGUACCUUUUUAGGCUUUAGGAGAUUCUUUUGAGGUUCCACAAGGGUGUUGACAUCAUUCUCUUGUAUUUUUUUUUUCAUAUUACAGUUUGAUUUUAACUGACUAUUGGUCUGUUUUAUUUUGGAUUGUUAUGGUUCGUAUUACAUGGUGGCUAAGAGGCAUCAACAUCUGCCUGCUUUUUACUGCUCUCCGUGAUGGUUGGUAUCCCAUGUCAAGCUCUAACCAAUCAGCAACUAGUGGAGUCUGUUUUGAAAAACUGGAGAAUCUUUAUUUUGGAAAUAAUUUGACAGUGCAAUUGUUGUACUAAUCAUGGUUAUAGUUGAGGGAUUUCUGCAAUUUCUUUCUUUAGUGGUAAUUAGCAAACGUCAGAUUUGGUGAAAUAAAAAUAAUAAUAAUAUAGCAUAGGGAAUAUGGUCGGAUUAUAUUUUGGACCUUGCCAAAGCUAGAGUUACCUGACACGUAAGCUCAUAAGAACCGCAGAUGCUGCGUCAAGUCACAAGUGCGAUCUCGACGAGGAAUUUUAUUUGAAAUAUCAGAAAUACCCCGAUACAUUCUAGAAUUACCCCCAUUCUUCAGGAUUAAUUUAUUUUAGAUGUUGAAAUCGAGGCUAUCCCGCGCCGAUAAAUAGAGGGAGGUAUUGGUCUCCGGCUAUCUGGCUUCUCCCCGAGCGCCAGCGACUUCUGAGGCGAGAGAGGAUCCGAGGAAAAGAGAGGGGCAAGAAGAAGAGGGCGACGAGAUGCCUCCAUCAAGGAAGAGAGAGAAGGGAGGCGGCAAGCUGACCCAGAGAUCAAGGAAGAGAGAGCGAACGAUCUCGGCUUGCACCUCUCCUCGAGCCACCUUUCUUGCUCGCCACUCCAGCUUCAACUGGAACGAUGCAGGUCCUGGACGCGUGACACGUGUAGCUGUUCUUGGAGGAGCGAUACAAGAACGGGAGCUGGGAGUACGAGGACAUCGGGGUCCACCGGAUCGAGAAGCCCUCCGACUCAGCCACCGGGGUAUCCUCGACCUCAAGUACCUCAACGCUCCCGGCACCACCGGUAGCCAUUACGGGCCCUCAUAAUCUUUUUUACCUCCUUCCUACAUUCUUCCAAUGGCAACGAAGGAAAACGAGCCGUUGCUGGUGCUGCUGCUGGUGGUUUUAAGGGUAUUGGCUGUGAAGUCAUGGAUUGGGCAACCCGAUCGACGACUGGCAGCCGAAGGCCAGGCCUUCUCUUCACGCGGUCGCCGUCAACACCAGCCUCCAGCCAAACGAGGGGCUUCAAGUGAGGUUCCAGGCUAUGAGAAGCAGAGCAGCGGAUGGAGAAGUGGUUUCCAUGAGAAUCUCCCAGCAGCUCAUUUAGCUUCUAUUAUCAUUUUACAUAAAACCGGAGUUCCUCCCCUUUGUAGGAGGGGUCGAUCUCCGCCAAAAACUAUAAGAAAUUCCUCUGGGGGAAAUUUUGGGGUGAAGGCAACUCCCAUCGCCUACUGUAGUGCUGAACAUGACAUGUUUCGCUCACCAUUUGCCUAUUUUU